rnacentral:rRNA from 1 species
GAAUAUUGGACAAUGGGGGGCACCCUGAUCCAGCCAUGCCGCGCGUGUGAAGAAGGCCUCUUGGUUGUAAAGCACUUUAAGCGCGGAGGAGGCUCCUUAGAUUAAUACCCUAGGAUAGUGGACGUUACUCGCAGAAUCAGCACCGGCUAACACUGUGCCCGCAGCCCCGGUAAUACAGAGGGUGCAAGCGUUAAUCGGAUUUACUGGGCGUAAAGCGCGCGUAGGUGGCCAAUUAAGUCAAAUGUGAAAUCCCCGAGCUUAACUUGGGAAUUGCAUUCGAUACUGGUUGGCUAGAGUAUGGGAGAGGAUGGUAGAAUUCCAGGUGGAGCGGUGAAAUGCGUAGAGAUCUGGAGGAAUACCGAUGGCGAAGGCAGCCAUCUGGCCUAAUACUGACACUGAGGUGCGAAAGCAUGGGGAGCAAACA